GAUAGAGGCCUGCCCGCAACGAAGGACUGCUAACCCUCGUGCCCCGGGUUGGAUUCCCGGGCUCAACUCG
rnacentral:tRNA from 1 species